rnacentral:rRNA from 1 species
GCGGUAAUACGGAGGAUCCGAGCGUUAUCCGGAUUUAUUGGGUUUAAAGGGUGCGUAGGCUGACCAAUAAGUCAGCGGUGAAAAGCAUAGGCUUAACCUAUGUCUUGCCGUUGAUACUGUUGGACUAGAAUAUAAAUGGAGUAGGCGGAAUGAAUCAUGUAGAGGUGACAUUCAUAGAUAUGAUUUAGAACACCGUUCGCGAAGGCGGCUUACUAAGAUAUAAUUGACGCUGAUGCACGAAAGCGUGGGUAUCGAACAGGAUUAGAUACCCUGGUAGUCCACGCUGUAAACUAUGAUAACUCGUUGUCGGCGAUACACAGUCGGUGACCAAGCGAAAGCGAUAAGUUAUCCACCUGGGGAGUACGAUCGCAAGGUUGAAACUCAAAGGAAUUGACGGGGGCCCGCACAAGCGGAGGAGCAUGUGGUUUAAUUCGAUGAUACGCGAGGAACCUUACCUAGACUUGAACGUAGCAGUAAUAAUGUAGAAAUAUGUUAGCUAGUAAUAGACUGUUACGAGGUGCUGCAUGGUUGUCGUCAGCUCGUGCCGUGAGGUGUCAGGUUAAGUCCUAUAACGAGCGCAACCCUUACACUUAGUUGCCAGCAUAUAAAGAUGGGGACUCUAAGUGGACUGCCUGCGUAAGCAGAGAGGAAGGUGGGGAUGACGUCAAAUCAGCACGGCCCUUACGUCUAGGGCGACACACGUGCUACAAUGGUAGGUACAGAGGGCAGCUACAUAGUGAUAUGGUGCGAAUCUCAAAAGCCUAUCUCAGUUCGGAUCGGAGUCUGCAACCCGACUCUGUGAAGUUGGAUUCGCUAGUAAUCGCAGAUCAGCCAUGCUGCGGUGAAUACGUUCCCGGGCCUUGUACACACCGCCCGUCAAGCCAUGGAAGCUGGGGGUACCUGAAGUUCGUGACCGCAAGGAGCGACCUAGGGCAAAACUAGUAACUGGGGCUAAGUCGUAACAAGGUAGCCGUACCGGAAGGUGUGGCUG